ACUUUCAACCAUAGAGUUUGGUUUGCAAGCCGACAGAUUGUGGAUUAGUGUUUAUAAAGAUGAUGAUGAAGCCUUUGCUAUAUGGUCUGAUGAGGUGGGCGUUCCAUUUAA